rnacentral:rRNA from 1 species
UGCAGUCGAACGCAUCCUUCGGGGUGAGUGGCAGACGGGUGAGUAACACGUGGGAACGUGCCCUUCGGUUCGGAAUAACUCAGGGAAACUUGAGCUAAUACCGGAUACGCCCUUAUGGGGAAAGGUUGACCGCCGAAGGAUCGGCCCGCGUCUGAUUAGCUUGUUGGUGGGGUAACGGCCUACCAAGGCGACGAUCAGUAGCUGGUCUGAGAGGAUGAUCAGCCACACUGGGACUGAGACACGGCCCAGACUCCUACGGGAGGCAGCAGUGGGGAAUAUUGGACAAUGGGCGCAAGCCUGAUCCAGCCAUGCCGCGUGAGUGAUGAAGGCCUUAGGGUUGUAAAGCUCUUUUGUCCGGGACGAUAAUGACGGUACCGGAAGAAUAAGCCCCGGCUAACUUCGUGCCAGCAGCCGCGGUAAUACGAAGGGGGCUAGCGUUGCUCGGAAUCACUGGGCGUAAAGGGCGCGUAGGCGGCCGAUUAAGUCGGGGGUGAAAGCCUGUGGCUCAACCACAGAAUUGCCUUCGAUACUGGUUGGCUUGAGACCGGAAGAGGACAGCGGAACUGCGAGUGUAGAGGUGAAAUUCGUAGAUAUUCGCAAGAACACCAGUGGCGAAGGCGGCUGUCUGGUC